rnacentral:tRNA from 1 species
GCGCGGUUAGCUCAGUGGUAGAGCGUCUCGUUGACGUCGAGAAGGUCGAAGGUCCAAUCCCUUCACCGCGCACCA